rnacentral:sRNA from 1 species
AAUAUCAAAAGCUCCUGGUCCAAAUUGUGUGUUCGGGAAUCUUCCAUCCGUGCAGUCAACACCCCAUGCAGGAUAUUUGGGACCAUAAGUGCACGAAACGAAAAUAAACCACAAGAAUAAUUAAUUCGAUCCCGAGCCGAUCCAGCCGACAAACUCAGCUCCCUCUUCGACGACUAGGGAGAGGUUUUGGCCCUAUUGCUACCCUCUACUCAGAAGCCAUCUAAUGAGAUCGACAUUUUAAUUGAGUUUACGGAAUCCCCGAGGCUUGAAAAUAGAAAGGAUAUUAGAGAUAUCACUACCAGGAACCGAAAAAACAAUUAAAAUUAAAAACAACUUAAGAAUUAUUGACUCCUCAGAAUCGGAGUUUAGAUAUCCCGCAGAGGCAUCUAUUAUUUUAGCUACUAAUUGAUGGAGGAAGGUUGGUUAAUUGUAACUAACUAGCGGGCACAGCACCAGCCCGAUGUCAAAUCAAGUCCACCAAAUUUGGUGGAUAAUACUAUGUACGUACAUCGUGGUGGCCCCAUCAUUUUGCUUUCUAAGAUCUCGCUCCAUAUACCACUCAUUUGUACAGACGGGAUGUUAGGAUGUGUGUGACUUGGGAGUAAAAGUUUGUCAAUCUCUCAAUCAAUUCUACACAAAUGUAGAAAAGAAACCUAGUUACUGUCCGUGGGCAGAUCGACAACUAGGGAUCAGACUGUGCCCUCCAUCUAUGUACCCCUAUAUUGCGUCGUACAAGGUCCUUCCCGCCUCUUUUUGCACCCUCUUUUCUCUCAACGCU